UUGAUUGGACUUGAUGGAUUCAGUAGGAACAUGUAUGUAGAGUUUUUUGGUGAAUUUGUGGUGAACAUAGUGUGACUUCAUGACUGCUCUCCUUCUUUCAUGGCAUUGACUCAAUCCCCUCUAAGGCCCCCCUGGUGAGGCUCCAUGCUUCCUCAAUCGGGUGCCUCAAUUAACAGGGCACAAAGCCCCAGACCUCUCCCAACCUCUGCAGCCCCCUCUGCAAGGUCUGCAGCUCAGAGACAUGCGUGUGUUGGAAGCAGGGGCAGUUGGGGUGACGGGGGACGCAUGAAGGUGGUGGCAGCAGGGUCUUCAGCGCUCUUUGUUCCCCCAGUGUCCAGCUUGGCCCCGUUGCCCCUGAUGUCUUUCAUAAGGAGUGUGUAAUAACUGCCUUUGUUGGUUUUUCCUCUUGUAAUGAGUCCAGUGGGAGGCCUUGUUAGUGUGUGGGGUGCUCCGCCAGGGGACCUCGCAGGAACUCUGGGAUUAGAGGCCGCCCCAUUCUGCCCUAAAUGUGAUCCUUCACAGUAAAAAUGCCAGUGUUGAAUUAACACCUAAAAGUGUCUGUGCCCAAGUCAGCAGAUGUUAAAGUAACACUUUUGAAAGUGUUUAAAGAUUGAGACCCAUUUUUUUUUGUUAAAUUAACAUUGGUCUAUAAUACUGAAAUGGGUUUAAGAAAAGUUAAACUUUCCAUUUCUGUGUAUUGUUUUGAAUAUUUUCCACUGGAUUUGAUUGAUAUUGGCACCUUGUGGGGUCAAUUAUUUACUUUUUUAACACCACAUUAUGUUUUGUGAUCAACACUGCACUGGUGUAAUAUAUUUUAACACUAACACCAUUGUAAUACUAAUGUGACACUCUGUAUUGUUGAAUUUAACACCAGCUGACUUGGACACAUAGAGACACUUUUGGGUGUUAAUUCAACACUGGCAUUUUUACUGUCCAUAUCACAAUGGUCCUUCAACCAGUGGAUGAAUUUGAUGCUUUUGAUCAUCCGAAUUGUGAAUGCUGCUUUGUUCAAUCUAAGGGUGUUAAAUUUAGGCUUGCUUAGUCAUCCAAGUUAAAUUAAAGGCCUGAUGUUUCUGUUGUUUCAUAAAGAAUGAGGGAAAGUGUGUUAUAGCGGUGAUAUAAUGACCUCAAGGAAGAAAGUGGCAAAAGAUUUUUUGUGAUAAAGCUGAAAUUUAUCUUGAAUCUUUGAGGUUACAUUUAGAUACUUCUGUCUUGUUUGGGAACUUUUCUUAAGAUUUUUUUGUUAGCAUUUUUAUUUUAUGCAUAAUAAAAAAGGAGGAUUAGGGCCACCAGAAAAAAAAAAAUACAUUGACUUUAAGAGCCGAAUUCUAAUUCUGUGUCAAUCUAUGUCAAAAGCCAAUAAUCAAACAUUCUGUCCAUUAUAUUGUUAGUAUAUGAAAAAAUCACCUAACUGCUUUGUCCUAAUAUGAUAUGUAAACCUGCACUUUAUCCACACUGAAAGCCUGUCCCAUAUUUAUUUGGUAGAUUUCAGUUUUGAGACCAUAUUUUUCUGGUGGUGCAUAAACAAUUUAAACAAUUCUGAUUCUGAGAAAAAAUCAGAUUUCUUUUUUUCAGUGACCCUAAUUCUCUACUGUGGGCUGCAGGAACACCUCCAUAAAACUUGCAAUAUAACUUGUAAAAAUGCACAGCAUCGCUAAUGUUGCCAUGUCUAAAUUAUAAUUUCCAACUCAAGCCUGCUUUGACUUCAGGACGCCGUGGCUUCAGAAAAUUGCAAUUUAUGGAAAAUUUUCUUUCCAGUGAGUGUCCACAUUUGUUCGUGAAUACGUUGGAUUCCGGUCAUGGCGAGCGCUGCUUUCACACGCAGGAUUUGUUGACCACAGGUGAGCUGUGAAAGAAUUGAAGAGUUGUGGGGCCUGAAAUGCACACAGCCUCCACCUUUGUUGAUUUGGCAUUCACAGGGCUAGCCAUUUUAGAGGGGGAGGAAAUUCAAGUGAAGCACUCCCAUGUACUCCUGCAGCACUGGAGGCAAUUUCCCCUCAGUCAAGUGGCAGAAACCCUCUUCAGCUGAACAACUUCCUGCAUUUAGUGAGCACUCCCACUGACACCCCUGCUCCAUCAUCCCCCCUUCUUAGCUGGCAUCAGUCACAACCUCUCAGCACGUCUCUGCUCCCUUCAGAAACGUGACAACAACAACUUUGUGUGGGGAUAUAAUCUGCAACUAAAUGAAAACCACACACCAAAAUGUACUUUUUGUUUUACCUCUAUUUUUCCCUCAGCACACGGUAACAUCCAUGAUGUUUUGAUGUUGUUUUUUUUGUUGUUUUUUUUUUUUCCAGAGAUUAAUAUUUAGAGCUCACAAGCGUUGAUUGGAGAGUUGAUGGGGCUGUUCAAAAUAAUAACAAGAGUUAAAUUAACUCUGAGUGUGAAUUCCCAGAUGCUCACACAAAGUGCUGAUGUUUCUACUUUGAGUGUAAUUAAUGGUGAGAAUCUUGCUGCAAAGGAGUAAUUAUGCAAUCACAGAAUAGCUGAUAGAUUUACAUGUACCUUCAUAAAGCCAUGCUAUGAGGUCUGAAUGCAAAGACACGACAACAGACAUCUAACAACAGUUUGGCAUGUUCUGGAAACAAGAUCUCAGUGAUUUCAGUGUUUUAGUGUUGGCCUAUUAUGGCUUCUGCAGGGUUGCAAGCGAGCAGAGGGGUUCCCACAGGAGACCCGGUUGUCCUGAGGGAGCCUAUUAAUCUAUUAUGUUCACCUCCAGAACAGCGUUAAGAACAACAAUCACACACAAGCCGGAGGCUGAGCCACAGGAGGCUACAGCUGCUUAGGACGGACCCUGUGUAGCUGCAGGGGCUGAUCAGCACCGUUCCCACGUGCCCUGCUCACAGCCCACAGCUCACACACAGAGAAAUACAGUGACGGGGUCAAGGCUAAUACUGUCUUAUUUAAACGUAAUGAGGAAAACUGAAAAGUGAUCUUAUGACAGCAUGGUUGGUUAGGUUGGAGGCACAUUCUGAAAAAAGAGGUGAGAUUUUGUGUAAAAAUCUGCUCAUAAAAUAUUCCAAGCCUUUCAUAUUUUUUCUGUUUUGUUUAACAUAGUAUAUUGGGGCAGUUUUUACUUGAAGAAAACCUUUAAUUUAAUGCCAUGGCAUUGUCUCAGCUUAUGGAAACAACAGCAUUUAAUACUUUUCUGCUAACAGAAAUGAAUUAUUUUUUUUCUGCAGGUAUGAUGCCAAGCAAGCUCAUCUCCUGAAGACAUAUUGGACACUAGAAAUAAUUACCAUAAUCAUGAUUAUUUUUCUUUGCAUUUUAAUUAGCCCUAUGAAGCUCAAUUAAGCUCUUCAGUAUGAGCGCCUAUUCAGUAAACAGCUGUCCACCUGUCUUUUAGUUCCUGGGAAAAGGCUGCAGUGCCUGUUCACGCCGUGGCGCCAUCACCACGCUGGGUGGGGGGUCAGGCGAGGCUGCUGCAGCCUGCAAGGGGCCCUCUAUUAAACUAAAAAGGGAGGAAUAAUUCUGCAGGGCACAAGCAGCUCAUCAGGAUAUGCAAAUGGCUUGAUUAACAGGACUAGAACCACAAGGAGAUAAAUUGUUAAUGACAAACAACAGCAAAUGCAUCCAAGUCACCAGAAUGUAACAUUUUAAACAAGACUUUUCUUUUUUUUUCUUUUUUUUUUAGAAGAAUAUUAUUCCCUCUGUCAAUCCCUAUUUGCUGUAAUCUCAUUCCCAGUGUUAAUUGCCAUUAAAUGUUCAUGUAAAUUGCUUCUCAAAAAGCUUCACAAUGAGGCCUGGCUCUUAGUUUUUCUACCAGCACCACCUAGUGGUCUCUGGAACACAUUUACACCAGCAGCCAAACAGAAGGUGAGCUGUCCGUUUUGUGUGGACCUACAGUACGUCAGGAUCGAUGGAUAUGGGCAACAAAGCAUCAAGCCUCACCAUUCAUGCCAUGGCUUCUCCCUUAAGAUUUACUGAAUCCCCCAUCUGCUUGCUUCUUUUUCAUGUCGUCCUGCAGGAGGUCUGAUUGAGAGCUGGACUUUAAAAAAAAACAUAUUUUUAAUGAACCCUUUUGAAGCUGAAUAUUCUCCAUAAAAAUUCAGUUCUUAUUGCAAAAACUCGUCAAUCGUCUGGUGACAAAUAGGACAGGACAUUAUAAAUAACAAAAAAUAAUAAAUUAAAACUUCUGCCUUUUCUUUAUUUUCCUCUGGGGAUGGCAAAGGAUUUCCUCUACUUAUCAUCCAUGACUGUAUUGGAUCUUUGUUCUGCUUCAUAGCACAGCUGAGCUUCAGCUGAAGGCCACAGACGUAUGGCAGGACAUUUUACAUUUUGCUUGUAUUUUAUUUUUGUUUUAUUAAUAAUAAUGUUAUGGAAAUUAUUAUUUUGGUAUAUCUGCACUAAAAGAUGUGUCCUGUAGCAACAUUAUUAGCAUCACACUUGAAAGAGAAAAGUAUAACCAGUUGAGCUCAGUGUUGAGGGAAUCAGAUUGUAGUGGAAAAGUUCAACUUCUCAGAGAGUUGCUGCAUUAUAAUUACUGGGAUUUUUUUUUUUUUUUUGUAACAGUUCAGUAUCUGCAGAUGGAAAAUAUUUUUUUUGUGACACGGCUGAACGUAAACAGUGGAAACAGUCCAGAUUUUAUUUUAGUUUUCCAAAAAUGGUAGUUUGUAAAUCACUAAUGGGUUUAAACCAGGUGUCCACUGAAAGCUGAUCUUCAAUUCAAAACAAGGACACAAAGCAAAGUUCUUUCUGUGAGUCUUAAAGUUGGUAUAUUAUUAAGUGCCAACAGUUGCAAUGAUUUUUAAUGGGUAAAAUUCCUGAGCUUCCAGUGUUUUCUGAUAUAUUCCUGCUAGAUUUUAAAUACCACAUGACACAAAACGCUCUUUGAAAACUUUAUUUUUAGCCCAAAACUAUUCAAAAUUGUACUUAAAAGUCUGUCUGUUCUUAUAAAUACAGUCAAUGUAACAAUGUUCCUGCAGGUGUAAGUCAAUUUGGAAAUCAAUUUGAAGAUUACCAUGCAAAUAUGAAAGUGUACAUAAGUAACAAUAAGACUGACAUGGUUUAAUAUGACGCAAAACUGUAUACAAUUCUAAAGUUAAUGUAAUCAAAUGUAAUGUACAGUUAAACAGCAUUACCUCACAGCAUUACAUCUUUUCUGUAAUUCAAAGAACAUAUAGAGUUACUUUAAAAUAAACCCUAUUAAAAUGAUCUAAUUUUGUCUAAAAGAAUUUAGCUAAAUUAAUUGAUCUGGUUUCAAGUGUCUCUUUGGUUUAAUCUUACUGUAAAAAUAUGUAAUUAUUUCACAUUUGUGUUUGAUGGACAA